rnacentral:lncRNA from 1 species
ACGGGGGUGUCCCGGUGUCCCCCCGGGGGACUGGUCACCGCGGGGUCCCCCAAUGUCCCCAGGACUGGUCGUGUGGGGUCACCCCAGUGUCCCCAGGACUGGUCACUGCGGGGUCACCCCAAUGUCCCCAGGACUGGUCACUGCAGUGACGUGAUGCUGCAGCUCCCAGGGGUCAGUUGGUCACCACAGGGGUCACUUGGCCAUGGCAGUGUCCCCACGGUGUCCCUGUGGUCACUGUGCCAUGGCAAUCCCUGUUCCACAGCCACGUCCCCACGGUGGUCACUAUGGUCAGUCACUGUGCCAUGGUGGUGUCCUGGUGUCCCCAUGGUGGUCACUAUGGUCACUGUGCCAUGGUGGUGUCCUGGUGUCCCCACGGUGGUCACUGUGCCAUGGUGGUGUCCUGGUGUCCCCACAGUGGUCACUGUGGUCAGUCACUGCUCCAUGGUGGUGUCCUGGUGUCCCCACGGUGGUCACUGUGCCAUGGUGGUGUCCCCACAGUGGUCACUGCUCUGUGGCAAUGUCCCCUCAGUGUCCCAGUGGUCAGUCACCGUGCCAUGGUAGUGCCUCUGCUGGUCACUCUGUUCACUGACCCAUGGCAAUGUCCCCGUGCUGGUCAGCGCUCCAUGGCCGUGUCCUGGGGCGGUCACUGUGGUCACUCAGCGCUCCAUGGCCGUGUCCCGGGGCGGUCACUGUGGUCACUCAGCGCUCCAUGGCCGUGUCCUGGGGUGGUCACUGUGGUCACUCAGCUCCAUGGCCGUGUCCUGGGGCGGUCACUGUGGUCACUCAGCGCUCCAUGGCCGUGUCCUGGGGUGGUCACUCAGCGCUCCAUGGCCGUGUCCCGGGGUGGUCACUGUGGUCACUCAGCGCUCCAUGGCCGUGUCCCGGGGUGGUCACUGUGGUCACUCAGCGCUCCAUGGCCGUGUCCUGGGGUGGUCACUGUGGUCACUCAGCGCUCCAUGGCCGUGUCCUGGGGUGGUCACUCAGCGCUCCACGGCCAUGUCCUGGGGUGGUCACUGUGGUCACUCCGUGCUCCAUGGCUGUGUCCCGGGGCGGUCACUGUGGUCACUCAGUGCUCCAUGGCCGUGUCCUGGGGUGGUCACUGUGGUCACUCAGUGCUCCAUGGCCGUGUCCUGGGGUGGUCACUGUGGUCACUCAGCGCUCCACGGCAGUGUCCUAGGGUGGUCACUGUGGUCACUCCGCGCUCCAUGGCCGUGUCCCCGGGCGGUCACUGUGGUCACCAGUGCUCCAUGGCCGUGUCCUGGGGUGGUCACUGUGGUCACUCCAGUGCUCCAUGGCCGUGUCCUGGGGUGGUCACUGUGGUCACUCAGCGCUCCACGGCAGUGUCCUGGGGUGGUCACUGUGGUCACUCAGUGCUCCAUGGCCGUGUCCUGGGGUGGUCACUGUGGUCACUCCGUGCUCCAUGGCCGUGUCCUGGGGUGGUCACUGUGGUCACUCAGCGCUCCAUGGCCGUGUCCCGGGGCGGUCACUGUGGUCACUCCGUGCUCCAUGGCCGUGUCCCAGGGCGGUCACUGUGGUCACUCAGCGCUCCAUGGCGUGUCCCAGGGUGGUCCCUGGGUGGUCACUGUGGUCACUCAGCUCCAUGGCCGUGUCCCUGGGCGGUCACUGUGGUCACUCAGCGCUCCAUGGCCGUGUCCCGGGCGGUCACUGUGGUCACUCAGCGCUCCAUGGCAGCACCCUGGGGUGGUCACUGUGGUCACUCAGUGCUCCAUGGCCGUGUCCCAGGGCGGUCACUGUGGUCACUCAGCGCUCCAUGGCCGUGUCCCGGGGCGGUCACUGUGGUCACUCAGCGCUCCAUGGCCGUACCCUGGGGUGGUCACUGUGGUCACUCAGCGCUCCAUGGCCGUGUCCUGGGGUGGUCACUGUGGUCACUCAGUGCUCCAUGGCCGUGUCCUGGGGUGGUCACUGUGGUCACUCCAGCUCCAUGGCCGUGUCCCGGGGUGGUCACUGUGGUCACUCAGUGCUCCAUGGCAGCGCCCUGGGGUGGUCACUGUGGUCACUCCGUGCUCCAUGGCUGUGUCCCGGGGUGGUCACUGUGGUCACUCAGUGCUCCAUGGCCGUGUCCUGGGGUGGUCACUGUGGUCACUCCGUGCUCCAUGGCCGUGUCCCGGGGUGGUCACUGUGGUCACUCCGUGCUCCAUGGCCAUGUCCCGGGGUGGUCACUGUGGUCACUCAGUGCUCCAUGGCCGUGUCCUGGCGCAGCCUGGCCCUCACCACGCCGUCCAGCACGGCGUGCAGCCCCCGGCAGGCGGCCUGGGCAGCGUCCAGCACGGGCCGCAGCCGCUCCUGGUGCAGGCGGGCGCUGAGCUGGCACAGGGCCAGCUGCCCGCUGCCCGCCACCGUGGCCACGGCCAGCCUGGGGCCGCCGGCCGCCUCCUCGGCCGCGCUCAGGUCACUCAGGGCCACCGGGGGCCCGGCCGGG